rnacentral:lncRNA from 10 species
ACUGGUACAGAGACUUUAUCUUUCACACAGACUUCAAAUAUCUUUGGGAAUUUGUGCUCCUUAUUUACUGAGUGCUUGAGAAGAAAAGACAAAGCCAGUGGAAUGGUCCGAGUGUGGCAUCCGCUGCAUUUAUAAAGAAUAAGAGCUGCAGUGGGUGUGAUUCUUGGACAGAGUGGCGCUCAUCCUUGUUCCUGCAAUGAAGGACAUGCCAGCCUCCAGGCUCUUUGACAGAUGAUUGGAACUGUGCAAAUAUUAUGGAAGAUACCCCGUGUCAAGAAGCUGACAGCACACACGUUUGGGAAGGAUUUAGUGGCUGAAGCACUUCUAGAAGGUACAUACAUGAUUGACUCACUCUCACUUUGAAAUGAAGCUAUUUACUUCUUUUACCUUGAGAAAUGCCAAAACCUAGGGGGAAAGACUUAUUAUUGGGUGCAAUGCAAAGUCUUCACAAUUAUAAUUAAAAAGUAAAGUUUUCAUGAUUGUUAUUAAUUUACUAAGUGAUAAUCAUAACAGAAAAUAAAAUAUAUCUGAAUAUUAUAUCAUAAGAUAUAAUCUUA